GAGGAAUAUUGGUCAAUGGGCGUAAGCCUGAACCAGCCAUCCCGCGUGAAGGAAGAAGGCGCUAUGCGUCGUAAACUUCUUUUCCAGAGGAAUAAAAUUUUGUACGAGUACAGAACUGAAGGUACUUUGGGAAUAAGCAUCGGCUAACUCCGUGCCAGCAGCCGCGGUAAUACGGAGGAUGCGAGCGUUAUCCGGAUUUAUUGGGUUUAAAGGGUGCGUAGGCGGAUUAAUAAGUCAGUGGUGAAAACCUUCAGCUUAACUGGAGAACUGCCAUUGAUACUGUUAGUCUUGAGUACGGUCAAGGUAGGCGGAAUGUGUAAUGUAGCGGUGAAAUGCUUAGAUAUUACACAGAACACCGAUUGCGAAGGCAGCUUACUGGGCCAUUACUGACGCUGAUGCACGAAAGCGUGGGGAGCGAAC
rnacentral:rRNA from 1 species